ACUAGAAUGUUUACAAGUGUCAGUCUAAUUGGCUUCUAGGACAUACAUCUAACAGAGAAUCCUUACUCUCUAACUUUCUCGAGAUCAACUUUGAUGGUAAUAUGAAGAAUAAACGAUAACAUGCUAGAGCUACUUUUAUUAUACAUGAUGCAAAAUCAUCUACUAUUGUAGCUGGUGAGUUCUCUUUUUUUUGACUUGCCAAUGUUUUAGGCUAAGUUGAGGGGC
rnacentral:lncRNA from 1 species